CCCUUUUCUUCUCUGGCCCGUCCCCUUUCUCUUCUUCUGCUGCACCAGCCCGAGCCGGCAGCCCAACCCACCUCCAGCCCAUACCCCUUCGGCCCCCCUCCCUCUUCUUUUCUCCCCGUUCGUCCUCGCUGUAAAGCGAGAGGGAGCACGUUCUAGGCGUGACUCCGUGGUCCUCCACCGACGCACCACCACUCCCACCUGCCCCCUCUCUUUAUCCUCUCAGGGCCAAACCCUAGCUCGCCCUCCUCCUCCUUCCUCACGCGCCGCCACUCCCUUCUUCUCCCCUCACCUUUCUUUUCUCUCUGUGAGCAAAACAAAGAAGAACAACCUCACAGAACCGCCACCUCCUCUCCAUGGCGCCGCCGCUCCACUGCAUCCCCCGUCGUUCUGAGGGCACCGAAAGAUGCGCCUCGUCUUCCUCUCCAUCCCCAUGCAAGGAAUCGCCCCGGGACGCCUCAAAUCGCCGGCAAAUUCGCCGAUUCCGUUCCCAUCCAGCCGGUGUACCCCCGACGCCAUCUCCCUUGCCCCGGUUUGCUCCCAGACGCCGAAGCCAUCUCCAACCAGAGCUCCUUCACGAUGACCGCCAUGGCUGCUCAGUUUCAUCUCCGCCACGGGUUGGUUCAAGUUGCCCCGCGCCCUACUCUUGUCAUCAUCAGAACAGACAGUACAGUGAUCCCGCAGGCCCAGAUGGUUUUCUUUCAUGUGGCCUCUUCUAAAUCAACAAUAGCAGCUAGCUCAUCUGGUUCGUUCGGCCCAAUUCGUUGCAUGAGAUCCCGUGUUCAAUUCUUGUUGGAGGCGAAAUUACCUUGCCAGUCUUUUUCUGCUCCAGAUCCGCUGUUGGGCCUCGAUCUGUGUUCCUCCCGCUGCAGCCAUCACGCGCGCGGCCCGAAGCUAUCUGUCGCCGCUCGCAGGCGAGAACUGGGCCGGCCCAUGCACGCUAGACCUUCCUCUCGCCGACCAGCAUUUGCUUCUUCCCGGAUAGGAUCACGAAGUGGUGCGGUGAGAUACGCCAAGUUCUCCGGAUGUUCCUCAGCAAGCUCUAACAGGCAAGCAUUUCCCCUAUACUCCUGCCCCUGCAGAAGUCGCUCACCUAUUUUAUUUUGCCUUCUCCCUCAUGCUAUCCUUAAGUUGCGUUCUUGUCACGUGUCCCUUCCACUUGUUACCUCAAGCAGCCUAUAUUGCCUCCACCAACCACCUACAGCUAUUGUUUGGUUUCGGGUCUGCCUUGCGAGUCGUAGUGCAUGCUAGUGCUGUUAUAUCUCGUUACUGUUACCGCUAUCUUAUCGGUUAUCUGUUGGGAAUCAUGACACAUGCUACAUGGUUAUAUCUGUUGAGGGAAUCAUGAUUACUUGUUAAUGGUUGUUAAGCGGAGACAUCGGUGGGUCAGUUGCUCGUUUUAUGGCGGCUCACUUGUGUUUCUUUAAAGCUUAGGACCCGAGUUCCUGUUAUCUGUUCCGAGACUGAGCGCUCUAACCACACGUGGGUAAGCUUCUGGGUCUCCCCUCGACCACUGCCGGAAUCUACAGCUUUGUCCAGUGGCCACAACUAGUUUGCAAUGUUUUACCAUUUGAUGUUGCGUGCAUGCCAGCCUGUUACUUAUUUAUUUUGGGAAGCCCCUGGGUGCCUUGUAUCCCUUGUUUCUGGUAUGCACGUAUAGGUCGCGGAGCCGCUGCGAAGUGGUUUAUCGCCCCAGUGUGUGUUUAAACCACCUAGUACGCUGUCGCAAACAGCUAGGUCCGCUUCGGAGAUACGGCCGGACUUCGAUACGGGUUCAACUUGGUUAGGUGGCUUCCUGGACAUUGUUGUCGUGAAGGAGAGUGCGAGUCGUGAUAUCCACCUGUCGCAAGUGGGUUGAUCGUGCGUGUGGGCACAUUUGGGCACCCCUGCAGGGUAAAAUCUUAUCGAUAAGCCGCGUCCGCGGUUAUGGACGACUUGGAGCUGUAUGACUCGACCAUAGACAACUUACACCUGUUGUUUCAAUCUUAAUAACUUGCAUAGUAAGUUAGCACAACCUCAACAAUAACUGGUUAAAACUUGACAACCGUGUGAGUGCCUUUGUAAGUACUUCCUUGCGAGGGGGGAACACCUCGGCUGUGUUAUGUUUGCAGAGUAUAGAACUGUUAGUUUAUGCGCUCUCUCACCUUCUCUGAUUAGACGACUGUUGUAGAGUGUCUCUAUAGGUUUUUUUAGUGCUUGCGCGCUGCCGCUUAACCCCACCAUAUUGCAUAUGACGUUCCUCUUGCGUCUUCUAAGUCCCCUGCGUGCCUCAAGUACAAAGGACGACUGGUUGACGAAUGCUUAUACGUCUUGAAGUCUUGUUAAGUACGAACCGUACUUAUUGCUGCUUCUACGGGAUAUAACCGGGCAGGUAUGAAGACCGGUACGAUGAAGGCGACGUUAGCAAGGUUACCCUUCCGGCUUGGCCUGGGCAGGGUUAUGGAUGCCACUUGGUUAUCUUCAGGACUCUUAGUCCAAUUUGUAUCUUGUCUGUACUCGGAUGUAUUUGAUCUUCUGUAUGAUUUGGAUCUUUGUAUUGUAUAUUUGUAUCUUGACUCGUUGGAGUCGUUGUUGUAAUAUAUGUUUCUUGUGGGCUCUA